rnacentral:lncRNA from 1 species
CCCAAGGUUUCAAUUGGAUAGAGACUUGGAAUCAUGCAAGUUGUAUAGCAUGAUGGAUGAGAACUUUCAAGCAUUGGAAAAAUUAAGACUAACUACUUGUUCACAUGGAUGUGUGAGUGAAGUAAAGGACUAAGGGAUCGAGUACACAUUCUUGUGCACUGGUUAAGUCCACCACAAAAGAUCGAUAAGACUAUUCGUCAUAAUUUACUAUAGCUGAGUAAAUAUGGUUAUACUUACAAGCUUAAGUGUAAUUCUGAGACAUUGGAAAAGGUUCCAAUGUAUGGUAGAGCGAAUAAGAAGAAUCAACUUAGGCAGAAAGAUAAAAGUUUCUCAAAUCCGAAAAGAUAGGAGAGUACUUUAGUAUCAUGUUUUAAGACCAUCUUAAUGAUUUUGAGACCUUAUCACAAUUCAUCCUCUAAGUGCAUUCUGAUACCUAAGAAGAGGAGUUAUGAAUUGUUGAAGUGGUUAAAUCAAGAAGAUGAUUCAUACUUCGUUCCAAAAACAAUUCUUAGAGUUAUACUCUAAAAUCGUAACAUGAGUGACAUGUCUUAAAGAAGGUUUAAAACACUUGUCAAAUAUAACGGUAAAACUUUUCUACUCUUGUACAUUUGAAAUUGGUAAGUUGUGAUGUUUUGGAUAAAACAAAGACCAACUAAGGCCAAUUGUGUGAAGUGUUUGUCUUGAUUAGAAUUCACACUAUCUCUUGAAUAUCUGACAAGAAAGUCUUAUAUGUCAAGAGGACAGUGGGAGUCUUAAAGGUCUUGAAAGUCUCAAGAACUAAUCAAGAAUAAAACCUGAAGUUCUUCACUAGCACACGACUUGAGGUUUAUAACCUAUCGUGUUGACAUAUCUGUGCCCAUUCCAGUUAAAGUUGGCUUUGCAUAUGAGUUCUUAGAGUUCUCAGUUUGUUGCACAACAACUUGGAAGCAAUGGCAGGCCCUUGAGCUGCCAGGUGGCAAGAAGUUAAGAUUGAGUUCAAUCCAUAUGGUUUUGGAUUUGUCAUUAUCUUUGUCUUGUGAUUAUGGUUUGACAAAUUCAUAUGGGUAGGAACUCAUACACCAUAUAAAUCUAAGUGUCAUAAGGUUUCUCUCCGAUUCAUGAAAAUGAUGGUGAGGAAACACUUUCACUAAGUAGAUUUUAGCUAGAUAGCAAUUGUGAUAUUUGCAUUCUCAAAGUCGUUAGUGGAGCGCGUGUGGUUAACCGGCACACUAACCUGGACUUGUGAGAANUUCUUAGAGUUCUCAGUUUGUUGCAUAACAACUUGGAAGCAAUGGCAGGCCCUUGAGCUGCCAGGUGGCAAGAAGUUAAGAUUGAGUUCAAUCCAUAUGGUUUUGGAUUUGUCAUUAUCUUUGUCUU